GACAGAGGGGGCAAGCGUUGCUCGGAAUUACUGGGCGUAAAGCGCGCGUAGGCGGAUCCGUAAGUCGAUUGUGAAAUCCCUGGGCUUAACCUGGGACGUGCAGUCGAAACUACGGACCUUGAGUGCCUGAGAGGAUGGCGGAAUUCCCGGUGUAGUAGUGAAAUACGUAGAUAUCGGGAAGAACACCUGAGGCGAAGGCGGCUAUCUGGCGGUGCACUGACGCUGAGGCGCGAAAGCGUGGGGAGCAAACAGG
rnacentral:rRNA from 1 species